GAUGAACGCUGGCGGCGUGCCUAAUACAUGCGAGUCGAGCGAACAGACGAGGAGCUUGCUCCUCUGACGUUAGCGGCGGACGGGUGAGUAACACGUGGAUAACCUACCUAUAAGACUGGGAUAACUUCGGGAAACCGGAGCUAAUACCGGAUAAUAUAUUGAACCGCAUGGUUCAAUAGUGAAAGACGGUUUUGCUGUCACUUAUAGAUGGAUCCGCGCCGCAUUAGCUAGUUGGUAAGGUAACGGCUUACCAAGGCGACGAUGCGUAGCCGACCUGAGAGGGUGAUCGGCCACACUGGAACUGAGACACGGUCCAGACUCCUACGGGAGGCAGCAGUAGGGAAUCUUCCGCAAUGGGCGAAAGCCUGACGGAGCAACGCCGCGUGAGUGAUGAAGGUCUUCGGAUCGUAAAACUCUGUAAUUAGGGAAGAACAAAUGUGUAAGUAACUAUGCACGUCUUGACGGUACCUAAUCAGAAAGCCACGGCUAACUACGUG
rnacentral:rRNA from 1 species